rnacentral:rRNA from 1 species
AAAUUGAAGAGUUUGAUCAUGGCUCAGAUUGAACGCUGGCGGCAGGCCUAACACAUGCAAGUCGAGCGGAAACGAGUUAUCUGAACCUUCGGGGGACGGUAACGGCGUCGAGCGGCGGACGGGUGAGUAAUGCCUAGGAAAUUGCCCUGAUGUGGGGGAUAACCAUUGGAAACGAUGGCUAAUACCGCAUGAUGCCU